rnacentral:rRNA from 1 species
UUUAUGAUUUCUUCGGAAUGAAUUUGAUUUAGUUUAGUGGCGGACGGGUGAGUAACGCGUGAGGAACCUGCCUUUCAGAGGGGGACAACAGUUGGAAACGACUGCUAAUACCGCAUAACGCGUAGAGGUCGCAUGGCCUUUACGCCAAAGAUUUAUCGCUGAAAGAUGGCCUCGCGUCUGAUUAGCUAGUUGGUGAGGUAACGGCCCACCAAGGCGACGAUCAGUAGCCGGACUGAGAGGUUGAACGGCCACAUUGGGACUGAGAUACGGCCCAGACUCC